GACGAACGCUGGCGGCGUGCCUAACACAUGCAAGUCGAGCGGGGUUGAAGCGAGAGGUAACUCGAGCUUCUACCUAGCGGCGGACGGGUGAGUAACGCGUGGGCAACCUGCCUCAAGGUUUGGGAUAACAGCCCGAAAGGGCUGCUAAUACCGGAUAUGCCUAUGGCCUCGCAUGGGGCUAUGAGCAAAGGGGAAACCCGCCUUGAGAUGGGCCCGCGUCCCAUCAGCUAGUUGGUGAGGUAACAGCUCACCAAGGCGACGACGGGUAGCCGGCCUGAGAGGGUGACCGGCCACACUGGGACUGAGACACGGCCCAGACUCCUACGGGGGCAGCAGUGGGGGAUCUUGCACAAUGGGCGAAAGCCUGAUGCAGCGACGCCGCGUGAGCGAAGAAGGCCUUCGGUGUAAGCUCUGUCUGGAGGGACGAACAAAAUGACGGUACCUCCGGACGGAACGGCCGACGGCGUAACUACGUGCCAGCAGCCGCGGUAAGUACGUCUCUA
rnacentral:rRNA from 1 species